CUUGUAUAACAGAAGAGCGUUCUCUCUCCGCCUGGCAUUGAGCUUCUGAACAUGACGUCUACAAUCCACUUCAGAGCUACGUCCAAACUCCUGGAAAGACGCAGACCUGAACCUUGCCCAGAUGGGGAGAUAGCAGCAUGUACGUCUGCUCUGUGGGGUCCUCUCAGGAACUGACAGGGAACAGCAAGGACUACACUGAGCUCAUAGUGCUGAGGGUUUGACCAGCUGACGGCAAUGACAAAGCUGGCCUCGCAGUUUGAUGAGCGGGGGCUGUCUACUCCUGCCUUAAACAGCUGGCAUGCAAAUGCACCGGCAAUACCAGUGCCUUCUAUUAAUUGUCAAAACAGACUUGAGGAAUAGACUGCAGGGAGAGCAUCUCGCCUCCUGCAUGCAACCCCCCUUCCCCCCAUCAAGGAGUUCAAUUACAAAUAUUUUUCCAAAAGCCCAAAAGAAUAAAGUGCUCGGACAAGCUGUAAACUAUGUCAGAACUAGGUUUUUGUCAGAACCUGGAAAGAGAUU